CCUCUCCUAUCUAAUUGUAUUUACAGAUUUGUAUGAAUUUUUAAUAGGUAAUGACCCACUGAAGACAUUUUUACAAUAUUUAUUAGAUUAUGAAUUUAUAAAUUCAAGGACUCAGAGGCACAUAGUUUAAAAGGCCGAGAACACUGAAACUAAUGAAGUCACAGAAAUCAGAAUAUUUGUGGACAUAAUACCAGUAAAAAAUAAAAAUCACAUCCAAACUAAAAGCAACGCUUCUUAAGAGUCAUCCUUCAAAGUUAGCAUAAUAAAAAGAUCUCAUUUCCCUCAAAGAAAAAUAAUUCAUCCCACCUACCAAGCUAGAAAAUCCUAUUUACAAUUGUACUUUAAUCAGAAGUAUCAUUAAGUUGCGUAAUACAGCCGGUUCUAUUCUGCCAUUAGAAUUUAACAUUUAUUUUAAGGUAUCGUUGUAUUUACAAAUGCAUAAAUAUUGUAACUCUGAUCUUCAUUCAGAUCUGCAUGAAGACGGGCUGUUAAGUCACAAUACAAACGUGUUAGUGGAAGAAAGUGUUUGGGGCAGCUGCAUAUUCAGUAUCAUUCUCAAAGAACAGAAAGCCAACACUUCUGAUAAAGCUCAAGUUCAUCACAUAGGCCAGCUCUUUAAAGUUAUGUUCAUGAAGAUUUAACCUCCUCCGCGUUAGUUCUUUACAUUGUCUUUUUUCAGUCAACUUUCACCACACUGUAGAUUUUGGUUACAAACCAAAAGCAUGCAAAGAAUCCAAUUGUCCCUGUGAAAAGGAAGAAGAUCAAAACCAUAAUCAUGGUGUAACCAAAAUAUAAGAUGGUGCUAGCUGUUCCUGUGAUUU
rnacentral:lncRNA from 1 species